rnacentral:rRNA from 1 species
UACAGAGGUCUCAAGCGUUGUUCGGAUUCAUUGGGCGUAAAGGGUGCGUAGGCGGCGCGGUAAGUCGGGUGUGAAAUCUCGGAGCUUAACUCCGAAACUGCAUUCGAUACUGCCGUGCUUGAGGACUGGAGAGGAGACUGGAAUUUACGGUGUAGCGGUGAAAUGCGUAGAUAUCGUAAGGAAGACCAGUGGCGAAGGCGGGGUCUCUGGACAGUUCCUGACGUGAGGCACGAAGGU